CCGGACACUUUAGCGGGCCGCACCGGACAAAGCGACCCGACCCCAUGUAAAA
rnacentral:ncRNA from 1 species